GGAAUUCGUGGUGUAGCGGUGAAAUGCUUAGAUAUCACGAAGAACUCCGAUUGCGAAGGCAGCACACUAAGCCGUAACUGACGUUCAUGCUCGAAAGUGUGGGUAUCAAACAGGAUUAGAUACCCUGGUAGUCCACACGGUAAACGAUGGAUACUCGCUGUUGGCGAUAUACGGUCAGCGGCUUAGCGAAAGCGUUAAGUAUCCCACCUGGGGAGUACGCCGGCAACGGUGAAACUCAAAGGAAUUGACGGGGGCCCGCACAAGCGGAGGAACAUGUGGUUUAAUUCGAUGAUACGCGAGGAACCUUACCCGGGCUUAAAUUGCAAAGGAAUAAUCUGGAAACAGGUUAGUCUUCGGACCUUUGUGAAGGUGCUGCAUGGUUGUCGUCAGCUCGUGCCGUGAGGUGUCGGCUUAAGUGCCAUAACGAGCGCAACCCUCGCCGCCAGUUACUAACAGUUAAAGCUGAGGACUCUGGCGGGACUGCCAUCGUAAGAUGUGAGGAAGGUGGGGAUGACGUCAAAUCAGCACGGCCCUUACGUCCGGGGCUACACACGUGUUACAAUGGGCGGUACAGAAGGCAGCUACCUGGCGACAGGAUGCCAAUCCCUAAAGCCGCUCUCAGUUCGGACUGGAGUCUGCAACCCGACUCCACGAAGCUGGAUUCGCUAGUAAUCGCGCAUCAGCCACGGCGCGGUGAAUACGUUCCCGGGCCUUGUACACACCGCCCGUCAAGCCAUGAAAGCCGGGGGUACCUGAAGUGCGUAACCGCAAGGAGCGCCCUAGGGUAAAACCGGUAAUUGGGGCUAAGUCGUAACAAGGUAGCCGUACCGGAAGGUGCGGCUG
rnacentral:rRNA from 1 species